rnacentral:rRNA from 1 species
GUUUAGAACGUCGUGAGACAGUUCGGUCCCUAUCUGCCGUGGGCGUUGGAAGAUUGAGAGGGGUGCUCCUAGUACGAGAGGACCGGAGUGAACGCACCACUGGUGUUCGGGUUGUCUUUCGGGUAGGCCACCUUGUAGCCCUGCGGCAUGGCGCUUUGGUAUUCCGCCACCUUGGCCUUUACCAGCUUGGCGGUGCUCAGGGCGUUGGCGCCCGCCGCCAGCUUGACCGCGAUCCCCGCCGCCGGGUGGC